rnacentral:misc_RNA from 1 species
GGAAGACACUGUGCGAGUCCUGCGGGAAGAAGUGCUCGGGCGAGGUCCUCCGGGUCCAGGAGAAGUACUUCCACAUCAGCUGUUUCAAGUGUAAUAGCUGCAAGAAAUCACUAGCACAGGGAGGUUUCUUCACAAGGGAGAAAGACUACUACUGUACAGAAUGUUACCAGAAGAACUUCGGUCAGAGGUGUGCCACGUGCGGGCUGUUCGUGGAAGGGGAGGUGGUGUCAGCCCUCGGUAAUACCUACCACCAGAAAUGCUUCACUUGUGCUCGCUGCAGACAACCCUUCCCAACAGGGGAGCGUGUGACGUACACAGGCAAAGAAUGUCUGUGCCAGCGUUGCCUCCACAUCCCUGUUGUGGACUCACAGUCCCCCACACGCUCACCCACCACUGCCGGCCCUAAGUGCGCCGGCUGCAAGGAGGAGCUGGUGGAGGGCCAGGCCCUGAUCGCCCUCGACCAGCAGUGGCACAUCUGGUGCUUCAAGUGCGCCGCCUGCAACACCGUGCUGCACGGGGAGUACAUGGGCAAGGAUGGCAUGCCUUACUGCGAGAAGGACUACCAAGCCCAGUUUGGUGUCAAGUGCGCCUACUGCAACAGGUUCAUCAGCGGCAAGGUGCUUCAGGCAGGAGACAAUCACCACUUCCAUCCCACUUGUGCAAGGUGCACCAAGUGUGGGGACCCCUUUGGAGAUGGGGAGGAAAUGUACCUUCAGGGUACUGCUAUCUGGCACCCACGCUGUGGCCCAGGACCCACUGAAAACGGCACAGUACUCAACGGCUCCUUGUCCAACGGCCACCAUGUCAAUGGGGAACAGAAGGCUGAGAGGGAACGCGAUUUUGAUGGCAUGAGCUCCACAGCUUCAGAAACACAGUUUUCUCGAUCGCGCACACCAAGCCUUAAUGGAUCGUUCCGCUCCUAUAGCCCCUAUAACAGCCUGAACAGGAAGUUCUCGGGUCCGUAUCGCACAUGCUCACCUGGGCUGAUCCUGCGCGAGUACAAAUCCUCACAAAGCCCCAUCGACAUCACCCGCAUCUACACGUACUCCUACCUUACUGCCGAGCCUUCCCAGGGGUACCUCAAGCGACCCCUGGACCCGUACGACCGUCCUCCACCAAAGUCUCCGCACUGGCACCGUCCCAUGGUGGAUAGUAGGAAGCUGUCACUGCCCAAAACAUCUAGUAAACUCGGCAUGCGUGUGAUGGUAGAUAGCAUAAAGUCUGAAACACCUAGACCGAAGUCUCCUCACAUGAACAAUGAAGAGCCCAUAACACUCUCACACUACCCCGGAGCACGCAAGCCAACUAGUGGAGAUGUGUCACGCAUUGAGAGAGACGACUUCCCAGCGCCCCCAUACCCCUACACUGAUCCAGAUGUUUCAGAGCGGCGGCGAAGGUGGUCGGGCAGCACCAAGGCGGUUAGCAUUGACGAGACAGAUGAGGGGACGGAAAUCGAAGAUUCCGAAGCCAUGGUGGAGGAUCCAAAGCUGAAGCGUGAGGAGGAAGAACUAAGCAAGAUUGCAACAGGUAUUGGGAAGGUGUUCCUACAGCAGGUGAAAGAGAGAGAAAGGAUUAGGGCAUGGAAAGCAACUCACUUAGAUCCUCGUAACGCAUCACGCUCUCCUGCUGCCAAUCGCGAACCUCAGAACAAACUGCGCUUUGAAUCUUCUCUAAAUGCUUCUCCAUCUCGAAUGACUGACCACAACCGGUCUUGGGGACCAGAGGAGGAGGAGUUUGACCGGGCUUCAUCCUACAGAUGCUCCACUGGAAGGUCAUCAGCCACGAUACCAUCCUACAACGUUGUAUCAGCCCUUCGAGGGGAGCCUAAACCGGGUUAUGGACUCAAGUCGUCCACUCUACCCGCAGCCGGACGCAAUGGUGGCCCUGCUGGAAUGAUCGGGGACUACAGCUUCACCGGCCUUGGAGAGAAGACCCAGAGCACAGAGUUCAGCAGUGCCCGAUCUGACGAACGCCGAGUUGUGUGCAUCAACAACGUACAGUAGUGGCCUCCGUGGCUACACCUCCUACUCCCCCCACCUCCGCCGAUCACUGCCCAACAUGCACCACAUGUCCUCCGAGCCCCCCAAGAUAUACCCUGCACAUCUUCUCUUCGUCUCCAACUAUCGUCUGCCCAAUGACGUGGAUCGCUGCCACCUGGAGCGCCACCUGUCAGACGCCGAAUUUGAAAUGAUAUUCCACAUGUCACGCAUGGACUUCUACCGCCUUCCGGAAUGGAGGAGAAAUGACCUCAAGAGGCGAUGCAAGCUUUUCUAAAGAGAUCCUAAUGCUUUAUAAUAUUUAUUUCAUAGUCAUUUUACACAGUACUAGAUUCCUUUUGUGAGGGAAACCAUACCAACCACUCGGUUUUGUAUUGGCUCAAUCAUUCACCUCUUUUUUUUUUUUACGUUCAGUGAAUAGUUGUCCAUAAAUGUAUUACUGUAAGAACAAUCAAAGAUGAAGAUUAAAAGCAACAACCGUAAAUGUCAUUCAAAUUGAUCUCUACAAUCUGCAUGCUUUUUAGAUGAAUUGUCAAAUUUUUAGGAAUACUUUAAAAAAAUAUAUAAAAAAAAAAGAAUAAAAAAAUUACAAUGUCUUAUGUAGCAGAAUAAACAAUUGUUUAAAUGUACAUCACAAAAGAUAUCCAAGUCUCCACCCUCACAGUUGGGUUUUGGGUGAUAAUAGUUUUUAGUCCAAAGUCCACCAGAUUAACAGGAAUGAUAAAAGUGUGUGGAAGGUGCUUUGAUAUAUUCCACAGGCAGAGUAUUUAUAAAGAAAAACAAAAAAAAGAAGGCAAUAUGUGUAGUGUUUUAUAUUGUUAGCAAAUACUUCUGUUUAGGUUGAAUUUCUGAAUUGUAAUUUUUGUACUUUUCACUCCUUUAGCAAACAAAAUUUUUUUUGUCCAUGUAGCCGAGAAAUCUUAGUGGAUCUUUUAUCUAAAUAUAUAUAUAUAUAUAUUUUUAAGUGAAGUGAUGGCUAUGCAAAAACUCUUGAGAGCUGCUUUUCUAGCCGGAAAAUUCCUCGACUGGGUGGGCAUUGGUUGUGUACGAUUGACCAGUGGACGAAAAUACCUUGAAUACCAGUUAUCUGUGCUUGUAACUUUUCCCAGUUUCAUAUCUUCUAGUCCUUUAUUAUUAUUAUUAUUAUCUUUUUUAUGUAAUUCCAGUAGUUGAGGUCUAGAACUCUUUAGUAGGCCUUCCUUUGAUAUAUUUAUGUAUGCUUCCUGAUGCUUAAGUUUUUUUUUUUUUUUUUUUUUUUUUUUUUUUUUUCUGGUGCUUUUGUUGGGCAGUGAUCUACACGAAUGUGGGGAAGGCAUCAUCGAUUACCAGCUUUCAUAACUACUUCUAUAAGCCUUAUUUUGCGUUAUUUUGUAAAUAUGAAAACAGUCUCGUAGGAGAGUUGCCAAAGCUGACUAUCUGUGGUUCCCCACAUUGCAUCUACACAUCUAGAAAUUAUAGCAAGAUCUGGGACAUGUGCUACAUUCUUUUAAUCUCACCUGUAUAUUGACAAUUGUAACUUGUCUGUAAAUAGUGCCUCAAUGAGCUUGAACUUUGGUGCGAUCAGCGGUUGUGAUUCAUAGGUGGAACAUUCUCCUCUCGACAGUACUGCCAAAGGGGCUUUCCCAGAUCAGUAUAAUGUUUAAAGCUAAACUCACUUCCUUCCGGGGAGUUCCCUCCUGUUUUGAGAUUUUUGUGAGGGGGGAAAGGGGGCAUGUCAAAUUUUAUGUGUCUAUUGAGAAUAGUUUAGCGAAUGCUGUUCUUUUGUUGUGGUGACCUUAGGAAGAAAUUUCCUCACUUGAUUGUUCCAUCACAUGCAAAACUUAUGUGAGAAUUGAUGCUGCUGAUCCCACCAUGCCAGAACAUGGUAUUUACACCAUAUAAUGGAUUAUUCUGCCCGAGGUGGGGGAAAAUAUGGUUGUCUGUUAUCAUUACUCUAUUAUGUUAUUAGAAUUGUGACAUGGCAAGAAAAUAUCAUUGGUUGUCUUGACUGCAGUGCUUUUUUAAAUGACAACGUAUAUAUUUUAUAUUUUAACCAUUGUUACAUGGAUAAGUACCAGUAAUAGAUUUUAGCAUUAAAAAAGAAAAUGAGUUCUGAGGUUGUAAAGAUGUUCCAGCCAGUAAGUGUUGUGCUAGUAAACCUGCUUGUAUUGUUAGUCAGGCCUCCCCAUCUACUUCCAAAAGAGGCAGUUUCAGCUUUUGGAGUGGAGCUGCUCUUCAGCGAGGGGUGGUCAGAUGGACAAGAAAAGAGAAACUUUGUACACUUAUAGAAUAGAGAUAUAAAAAAAGCCUCGAUUUGUGCCUAUUUUUCUCUGAAUGUUAAAAAAAUCAAGUUUCUUUGGUGCUUAUGUCUUAUUUCUUACAGUGAGCCAGGUCUUACUGUUAUAUUAGUGUGUAAUCCAAACUUUCACUUUACCUGCUCAGUAAAACUAAACUUUUAUGUUACAAGCCUUUUUUAGAAAAGAUAAUAGCGAUGUGUAGUUAUUUCUUCAAGGUGAUGUUGAUCAAAAAGAAAUUUUAUCAAAGAAACCACACUGUCAUAUCAGUCAUUUCAAACAGUGAGUGUUGUAGGGGUAUUAAUUUUUUACAUUAUUAAGACCAUAUCAGGUAGAACUUACCCCUUUAUAUGUCCAGAUCUUAUAGGGACAAAGUUUCCUAACUGAGCAUAUUAUCAGAUAUAGAAAAAAAGAGAGUUCCAUUCUAAUGCCUUUGGAUAGCUCAUGUUACACUACUAGGGAUGGGCAGGCCAGGGAGGGGAAUUUUAAUAAUCUAAGCGAAUUAGUCAUGAUAUCCAGGUGUGGGUAUGUCUUGUUAAUUCGUUCCCCAUCUUUGUUUUCAUUAUACAAGUAAACAUGUUCUGAUCCAUGAUUAAUUUGUUCUUUGCUUUUGUCAAGCAGGUCUUCAUGAAAACAGCUUAGUGUACAGAAAUUGUAUAUAUGAAUGUUGUGUGUUUCCUUUCUUAAUGCUCCUUACAUUUCCAUUUUUCAGUUCCCUACACAAAGAAAUACAUUAUUAACUAUUAGAAUUAACUCUUUAAAUUUUUUAGCAUCAGUAUAAAAUUCCUGCAUUCUAAUGAUACUAACAGAUAUUUUCUUGGUUGUAUGCUAUUAUAUAGCUUGUAUUUUAAUAAUUAAUUCCUGUUUUUGCCUUUUUUAGCACAUGCUGGAAAAGACUUAGUUUCAGCAUGAAUUUUAAACAAGCACUCUUCAAUAUUUGUUAUUUCUCCAGUUUGUUCAUUUCUUUGUUAUUACAUAUUUUGUCUCUUUAAGAGUGCAGUAACGCAUGGCUGAAAUUGAAAAUCUUUGCUAUUGUAUAGACAAGAAGCAUUACUCGCUUAGAUUAUCAGCAUAGAAACCAACCGUGUUUGAUCGACAAGGGGAUGUGACAAUAGCAUCCUUGCAUGUGUCAUUAGCACAACAUUUAAAAACUACCUUUGUUUUUUCUGUGGUUUGUCUGUUUUUUAACUAAGCCUUGUGGACAUUGUUCAUUCUGAGGUCAUUCUAGAAGAUUAAGAAAUAUCUAGUGAUGUGAUAAACCUAAUGUUACUAAUCUUUUAUGAAUUCUGGUUGUGUUAUGAGAUUUGUUUAAUGUUAGGGCAAUGUGCCAAAAGUUGAAAGUCCUCAGGUAUGAACGACAUCCAUAAUGACAUUUGCAUGUUGGUAGCUUGCUUUCCCUCCUUUAUUGAAUAUUUUAACAUAAGGAUCACUGUUAAUAGUAGUAAAUUAUUAACAUGGGCAAAGCAAGGGUGAUGGUAGAUGGUGUCACAGUCACAGGUUUGGUCAGUGGAAAAUUCCUGGUGACUCCUGGGUCACCUCGGUUGAAACUUAAAAUCAAAGACUGUUUUUUUCUUCUUCUUCUCUCAUUAUUAAAAAACAAAAAAAAAAACUAAUAGAAAUGUUUCUUGGAAAAAAGUAAAGAGAAUUGUACAGAGAAGAAAAUUUUAGAUACAUAUUUAUAUUAUAAUGGUACCUGAAAAAUGUUGAUUGUGAGUGUUAAAAAAAAGGAAGAAGAAUAAAACUGGCCCCUUCGAGCCACACUUUUGACACCCCUGUUAUAAACAGCUCUUGGAAUUUUGAUUUGCCUUUUACUUUUUUAUCAUUAUUAUUAUUUUUAUAAUUCAUUGUGAGUUUCUGAAGACUUGCUUGACUCUUCAAUGUAAAUGGUCCAAAUUUAAUCUUAAACAGAAAAAUUGAUCAUGAGGUUGUACAUAAGAAAUAUUUAACCAUUUAAGAAUAUAGAAUUGGUUAAGAAAACCCACUUCUCACCUUUUGCUAUACAUCUGUUAUUCAGUUUGCUGUAUUUGUUAUCAGUAUUUACAAUAUUCAGUAAUAUAUAUAUAUUUUUCUUCAUAUCAUUAUGCAUAUAUACCUAUGUUCUAUUUUUUUUUUUUUCUUUUUUUUUUUUUUAGAUAGAUAGAUAAUGAUUCAGUUAGUGUGUGUUACCUUAUUAGUUAGUCUGGCUGCUAUAUCAUUUACCCUUAUUUCACUUAUGGAAAAAACUGGAUUAAUUGCAGAAUAAAGUUAUUGGAAAAAAUGGAAGCUUUGCAGAUGCUGUCCAAUCUUUCUGCCAAGAUAUAUGGAAAGAUACAUACAUACCUUCAUACAUGCAUUCAUUCAUCUCUCCAGCUGAUAUUGAAAGCCUUUUGAAAUAGAAGUAUAUUCCAGUUAUCAAGAAGUUUUUUAAAAAUAAAGAACUCAUAACUCAGGUGAUUUAAAUACAUUGUUGAUUUUCACUUACUUUUUUCCAUCGUCCAAUUACAUGUGCUUCAUUAAAAUGUUACUCAUCCCAGUCAAUAAAAAAAAUGUAUGACAGAUCUUAUAUGAUUUGUCAUUUUUAGCAUAUUAUUGGGGUAGGAAUUCCCCAUCCAUACAUCUAAUAUUUCAGGUGUAAUAUGAUACCCUUUUUGUAUGUUUUUAUUAUUAUUAUAAUUAUGAUUAUCAUCAUUAUUUUUUGUGCAGUGGUUGUUUGGGAAAUUGUAUGAGUGAUGAGGGUUUGGACCAAUUUUUUUUCUUUGCUUUUCCACUAAACACAGACAGUCCAGUCCUAUAUCAAAAUAAAUCUGUAUAAAGUAAAAUAAUGAAAAAUGAUAAUAAAUAGAAAUGAAAAAAGAAAGAGAGAGAAUGAAAUCCAAUUGAAAGAGUGAGAGAGAGAGCGAUAGAGAGAGAGAAAGAGAGAGAGAGAGAGAAUCCAUAGCAGAUGUGGACAUGAUAUUGGACUUACAGCAUCCCACUGCACUCCAAGGACUUUCUGUUUUAGUAAGGGUACGAACCAAUCCUAUUUUGUACUUGUACUUGUGAGAGACUGAUGAUGCUUCAGUAACUGCUUGGGUUGCUAUAGUCUGUAGAAACAUAUGGAUAACCAAUAAUGACUUUGCUUGAAA